rnacentral:rRNA from 1 species
GACGAACGCUGGCGGCGUGCCUAAUACAUGCAAGUAGAACGCUGAAGGAGGAGCUUGCUCUUCUGGAUGAGUUGCGAACGGGUGAGUAACGCGUAGGUAACCUGCCUGGUAGCGGGGGAUAACUAUUGGAAACGAUAGCUAAUACCGCAUAAGAGUAGAUGUUGCAUGACAUUUGCUUAAAAGGUGCAAUUGCAUCACUACCAGAUGGCCCUGCGUUGUAUUAGCUAGUUGGUGGGGUAACGGCUCACCAAGGCGACGAUACAUAGCCGACCUGAGAGGGUGAUCGGCCACGCUGGGACUGAGACACGGCCCAGACUCCUACGGGAGGCAGCAGUAGGGAAUCUUCGGCAAUGGACGGAAGUCUGACCGAGCAACGCCGCGUGAGUGAAGAAGGGUUUCGGAUCGUAAAGCUCUGUUGUAAGAGAAGAACGAGUGUGAGAGUGGAAAGUUCACACUGUGACGGUAGCUUACCAGAAAGGGACGGCUAACUACGUG